rnacentral:rRNA from 1 species
AGUUUGAUCCUGGCUCAGAAUGAACGCUGGCGGCAGGCCUAACACAUGCAAGUCGGACGGAAACGAUGGGAGCUUGCUCCCAGGCGUCGAGUGGCGGACGGGUGAGUAAUGCUUGGGAAUCUGCCCUAUAGUUGGGGACAACCUAUGGAAACGUAGGCUAAUACCGAAUGUGCUCUACGGAGUAAAGGUGCCCACUCCUUGGAAGGUAUCGCUAUAGGAUGAGCCCAAGUUAGAUUAGCUAGUUGGUGAGGUAAAGGCUCACCAAGGCGACGAUCUAUAGCUGGUUUGAGAGGAUGAUCAGCCACACUGGGACUGAGACACGGCCCAGACUCCUACGGGAGGCAGCAGUGGGGAAUAUUGCACAAUGAGGGAAACCUUGAUCCAGCCAUGCCGCGUGUGUGAACAAGGCCCGAGGGUUGUAAAGCACUUUCAAUGGUGAGGAAAAGAUAAAGGUUAAUACCCUUUAUGUGUAACGUUA